rnacentral:rRNA from 1 species
UACGUAGGGUGCGAGCGUUAAUCGGAAUUACUGGGCGUAAAGAGCUCGUAGGUGGUUUGUCGCGUUGUUCGUGAAAAACUCACAGCUCAACUGUGGGCGUGCGGGCGAUACGGGCAGACUUGAGUACUGCAGGGGAGACUGGAAUUCCUGGUGUAGCGGUGGAAUGCGCAGAUAUCAGGAGGAACUCCGGUGGCGAAGGCGGGUCUCUGGGCCGAUAUCGACGCUGAGGAGCGAAAGCGUGGGGAGCGAACAGG